rnacentral:rRNA from 1 species
CACGUAGGCGGAUUAGAAAGUAUGGGGUGAAAUCCCAGGGCUCAACCCUGGAACUGCCUCAUAAACUCCUAGUCUAGAGUUCGAGAGAGGUGAGUGGAAUUCCGAGUGUAGAGGUGAAAUUCGUAGAUAUUCGGAGGAACACCAGUGGCGAAGGCGGCUCACUGGCUCGAUACUGACGCUGAGGUGCGAAAGUGUGGGGAGCAAACAGGAUUAGAUACCCUGGUAGUCC